rnacentral:lncRNA from 1 species
CCAAUGGAUGGAUGGGGAUGAAACCCUAGCCCAACACCCACCCAUGGAUGGAUGGGGAUGGGGCGGCGGCGGCGGCCUUCUCUCGGUGCUUGCUGAUGUGGUGGACAUCGACUUCGGUGACGGGUUGCAGCACGUAGACAUCAAAGGUACUGACACCCUCCAUCCUCAAGGUUUCUUCCCCUCGCGAUGUUGCUUUGUAGGUGGCCAGGAUCUCCGCGGUUGGCAUCGGCAUCGGCGUCGUCUACGGCUCUGUCAGGCUCGACAUCCUCAAGGUAACGCUCCAAAUCCCCCAACCCCACGCUCCAAAUCAUUCUCAUUUUUGCACACGGGAAAUAUUCAGGGAAGGCACUUUAGAUGCAAAAUACUGAGAUGCUUUCUGCUUGAAAACUAUAGUCAAAAGUUGAUUCACAAAAGUUCAGAAGUUCAGUCCAGAUGCCAAGGCAUGCUUAGCAUCUCAUAGUCAGAGGCUAUCCCGUCUCAACAUUGCACCUAUGCAGGUUUUCAAUUUAGGAGAUGAUUUGCACCUAUCCAUUUACUCUAAUGUAUUACAUACUAAUCCUUUUGGAGGCAAUAACGGAAGAAAAAUCUGUUGAUGUCUCCACGAGUCAAGUUAUAUAGCCGUUUCUGACUUGAAGGAAUAUUUGUGGGAUUUCAAUCAUUAGGAAGUUAGAGGGCAUCUGCAGCUUGGCAAAGUAGAUGUUGUUGACAUCAAUUAUUAAUUGUUAUUUUAUAAUGUUCCAUCAUUUUGUUUUUACACUUUUUUGCAGGCACUAGCAAUGUUUUACCAUUGACAGAGCAUUGUGAAUAUGGUAACAGACUACUUGGGUGUUCUGAAAUCGAAUUCUGUAUAUAAUAUAAGUAUAUUCCAUGACAUGUGCUGCUGCUUCCGAUUAGAUACAAUAGCUUCUCUCUUUUUUAUCGUACAGCUGAGAUCUUCAUUACAUUACAACCUUAUGUUUUGCUUUUUUUAAUUGAAAUUGGUGUUCUCUCUCUAGGUUAAUGGAUCAUCCUGGGAAUGGACUAUGGAAUGGCAAACUAACAGGGCACAUCGCACAACUGGUAUAAAUGUGUCAAUAUGUUGCAUUUCAAGGCAGUUUCACUCGUAAAUACUACUCCAUCCGUCCAAAAUAAGUGCUCAACUUUGUACUAACCUUAGUAUAAAAUUGUACUAGAGUUAAGACACUUAUUUUUGGGAUGGAGGGACUGCANNNNNNNNNNGAGGAUGUAGAAGUGAAAUUUACUAAAAAUUUAACCUACGUUUUCCUUGAGAAGGUUUAUAAAAUUAUAAGACAUAAUUUGAUGAAAGAGAUAUCUCUACUUCUUGGUGUUGCAUCAAGGCCUUGAUAUUGGACUAGAAUGCUUAUGUUUUAUAAAAAAGACAAACCUCGUGCAUUUGUUUUGAUUGCAACAUCUUUUGUAGUCAUCAAUAGUAAUACGUCAAGUACUGUUUGAUCAUUUUUAGGGUAUUGUCAAUCUACUUACAGACCACUUGCGUUGGGCAAGAGGGUUCUGCUGCGGAGACCAAGAAAAAGGAUGGGAACAUUGGGGACGCCUCAGCUGCCAUCGAGGAACACAACUCGGAACAGGAAAGCUCCACGCGAGGCUCCCCUGGCUGCCGAGCAUCUCUGAGAAGCCCAAAAUGAUAUGAGAUGAUGUCAUGGUGAUCGAUAGUGCCACGCAGGUUAUGCCGGAGACCAUCAUGUUCCCUGUCAAGCUCUUCCAGUUCUUCACCGGUGAGGCGGCUCUAAAAUCUUUGAUUUCAUGUCAAUUAAAAAUAGUUUGUAGGUGUGUUGGUAGUGGCACACAAAACUGAAACUAAAAUCUUCUUGCAUAAGCGCUGGAUGUUAUUGAGAGUAUUAUUACAUAUUGAAUUUAAUUCCUUUCUUGCACCCACAGUUGAGCUAAAGCUCUAAACUGCUCACUCGCACCUGAUCAGGAUUUAGUUGUAAAUUGUUACCACCGUCAAAUUAAUUAAUAUGAAGCCAGCAAUUGCUGGGUACCAGAGGAAUUAUGUUGUUCUAAAUAAUGAUUCCUAAACUACGAUGUCUGUGUGGUGUUAAUCUUUUGGGAAAGGAUUUGGAAGCUGGAUAGACACUGGUCAAGAUGAUAGGAGCAUAUACUCAAUAAAGAAAUUAGUUUAAUUGUGGCAGAAAGCAUGAUUACAGACAUUAAUUAGUUUAAUUCAGUACAAAAUUUUGGGUAUCGUUAUUAGUGGUUCAUGACUGAAAACUUGUUUGAAAUUACUAUCAUGUGCAGAGAUUCUGCCAGCAGCAAGCGAGGUCAUCUCCUUCUUAGACCAGUACUAAGGACCGCCGUUAUGUGGAUCCAUUUUACAUGCAAAUGUCGAGCCCAUCAUAUCGUGUUCGACCCAUGAACUGGAAGGAUUGCUUGCCAUUAUGUGGUAUAGUUGUCCUUUGAGAUAUAUUGCUGUUUGUAUGAAUUAUGAGCUUCUCUGUGUCUAAAUUGUACUCAAAUAGUCUUCCAGAAAUCUUGUUUUUAUCCACUUUGGAGUAACUGUUCGUUGCUUGAAAUUCCACUUUUAUCCACUUUUGGAAUAGUGAUUACAUCUGAGAUGUAGUAGCGUUAGUUUUGAUGUGAGAUAAAUGCCUGCACAUUUUACUGUUUCUCUUAUGUAUUUUCGAAACGUA